rnacentral:rRNA from 1 species
UACGGGGGGGGGCGAGCGUUGUCCGAAGUUACUGGGCGUAAAGCGCGUGUAGGCGGGUUGUUAAGUCCGCUGUGAAAGCCCGGUGCUCAACGCCGGAGGGUCGGUGGAUACUGGCAGUCUUGAAGUGGCUAGGGGGAAAUGGAAUUACCGGUGUAGCGGUGAAAUGCGUAGAUAUCGGUAGGAACACCAGUGGCGAAGGCGGUUUCCUGGAGCCCACUUGACGCUGAGACGCGAAAGCUGGGGGAGCAAACGGGG